rnacentral:rRNA from 1 species
AUACGGAGGGUGCAAGCGUUAAUCGGAAUUACUGGGCGUAAAGCGCACGCAGGCGGUCUGUCAAGUUGGAUGUGAAAUCCCCGGGCUCAACCUGGGAACUGCAUUCGAAACUGGCAGGCUAGAGUCUUGUAGAGGGGGGUAGAAUUCCAGGUGUAGCGGUGAAAUGCGUAGAGAUCUGGAGGAAUACCGGUGGCGAAGGCGGCCCCCUGGACAAAGGGUGACGCUCAGGUGCGAAAGCGUGGGGAGCAAACAGGAUUAGAUACCGGGUAGUCCACGCCGUAAACGAUGUCGAUUUGGAGGUUGUGCCCUUGAGGCGGGGCUUCCGGAGCUAACGCGUUAAAUCGACCGCCUGGGGAGUACGGCCGCAAGGUUAAAACUCAAAUGAAUUGACGGGG